AUUGAACGCUGGCGGCAUGCCUUACACAUGCAAGUCGAACGGCAGCGGGGGAGAAGCUUGCUUUUCCUGCCGGCGAGUGGCGAACGGGUGAGUAAUACACCGGAACGUGCCCUGUAGUGGGGGAUAACUAGUCGAAAGAUUAGCUAAUACCGCAUACGACCUGAGGGUGAAAGUGGGGGACCGCAAGGCCUCAUGCUAUAGGAGCGGCCGAUGUCUGAUUAGCUAGUUGGUGGGGUAAAGGCCUACCAAGGCGACGAUCAGUAGCUGGUCUGAGAGGGCGAUCAGCCACACUGGGACUGAGAAACGGCCAAGACUCCUACGGGAGGCAGCAGUGGGGAAUUUUGGACAAUGGGCGAAAGCCUGAUCCAGCAAUGCCGCGUGUGUGAAGAAGGCUUUCGGGUUGUAAAACACUUUUGUCCGGAAAGAAAUGGCUCUGGUUAAUACCUGGGGUCGAUGACGGUACCGAAAGAAUAAGGACCGGCUAACUACGUGCCAGCAGCCGCCGUAAUAC
rnacentral:rRNA from 1 species